UCCCUGUGGCUUAAAUGGUAAAGAAUCUGCCUGCAAUGCAGGAGACCUGGGUUCGAUUCCUGGGUUGGGAA
rnacentral:tRNA from 1 species